UAAUGAUGGGUAGGGGAGCUUCCCAUACGGGUUGAAGCAUGACCGUAAGGACAUGUGGACAGUAUGGGAGUGAGAAUGUUGGCAUGAGUAGCGAGAUGUGGGUGAGAAUCCCACAGGCCGUAAACCCAAGGUUUCCAGGGGAAGGUUCGUCCGCCCUGGGUUAGUCGGGACCUAAGCUGAGGCCGAAAGGCGUAGGUGAUGGACAACAGGUUGAUAUUCCUGUACUACCGAUAACCGUUUGAGAGAAGGGAUGACACAGUAGGAUAAGCUAAGCACACUGUUGGUUAUGUGUGCCCAAGCAUUGAGGCAGUCAAAGUAGGCAAAUCCGCUUUGAUAAUGCUGGGGUGUGAUGGGGAGCGAAAUUUAGUAGCGAAGUAGCUGAUUUCACACUGUCAAGAAAAGUCUCUAUCGAGGUUAAAGGUACCCGUACCGCAAACCGACACAGGUGGGUGAGGAGAGUAUCCUAAGGCCAGCGAGAGAACUGUUGUUAAGGAACUCGGCAAAAUGACCCCGUAACUUAGGGAUAAGGGGUGCCACCAUCAGGUGGCCGCAGAGAAUAGGCCCAAGCGACUGUUUACCAAAAACAUAGGUUUCUGCUAAGUCGCAAGACGAUGUAUAGGAGCUGACGCCUGCCCGGUGCUGGAAGGUUAAGGGGAUCUGUUAGAGCAAUCGAAGCAGUGAACUUAAGCCCCAGUAAACGGCGGCCGUAACUAUAACGGUCCUAAGGUAGCGAAAUUCCUUGUCGGGUAAGUUCCGACCCGCACGAAAGGCGUAACGAUUUGGGCACUGUCUCA
rnacentral:rRNA from 1 species